AUGAGUAGUAAAAGAUGUCACGAUGAUUUACAUACCCACACUUCAGAAGAUGAUCAGAGACCAUUAAGGCCCAGAUAUGAUUUUCAAAACAAUACACAACAGUUACAUGAAAUUAUUAACAAUCAUUUACAGAUGUUACCACCUAAUCCUCUUAACAUGAUAGAUAGAUUACACGAACUUAUAGACGAACAACACGAAUGGUUGGGUGCCGCUGUAGACAGCGACGAUCAGGUCGGCGCUGGACCUUCUAAUAACGAAUCCUCAGGUUACGAUCCCACAGCUCCUGAUAUGGGUCUCAGUCAGCAAUACAUAGAUAGACUAGUGAGAGAAGGAGGUAGUGUGGGUGAUUUUACGAUUGUCCCAAGACCUCGAUUUAAUGGUUUAGAAAUUCGCAGAACUUUAAAUUUUCGUGAAAUAGCGACAGAUGAUUUUGCAGCGUAUAAUAUAUUUUUACAUGAUAUUUUGAACGAGAUUGUUACGCUUUCCAGAUUAUUAGCUGGCGAGGGGGGUUUUUUUAACAUCUCUCUGCAAGGUGCAAGUCUGCCCACAGAUAUUAAUGCCGUUCUAACGCCUGAUAACAAUCACGACGUUAAUGUAUUUGUAGACCAAAUCGAACGAACCGUUCAAAGCAAUACGGAUGUGGCUUUUGAUACCGCUUUAGAGUUAUGUGUCUCUGUAGCGCGAAACAAACAAGGUGGUGUUGGUGCGCGUAGGAAGUUGACAGAACUGGCGCAUAAUCAGGUCAUACAGAAAAAUAGAAUGCAUUUGUUUGUCCCCCAAAACGUCACAGACAAUAUGUGUUUUAGUGCGUGCAUAGCUCACUUUCUAAAUCCACAGUGUAACGACGCUGAAUUGAUGACAUUAGCCAGAAAUAUACAUACCGAUCUGGGUUACGAUCCACAAGAUAAAAUUGCGUUGCAUGAUGUUUCUAAAUUUGAAGCAUUUCUAGACUUGAAAAUAGUUAUCUUUCACAGAUCUGAUUCAGGUAAAUUGGAAGUGUAUAAAAAUAAGGAUGAGCCGCAUCACAAGACGUUGCAUUUGUACCUGCAUGAAGAACAUUUUUAUGGGAUAAAAAAUCUGAAAGGUUUCUUAGGUUACUCGUAUGUUUGUGAGUACUGCUAUCAGGGGUUUCGUGAUCGUAGUCUACAUUAUUGCAAAUUUACAUGUAAUGUGUGCGCGAACAUGUCUUGCUACACGCAUCCCAAGAAAUCGGUGCAAUGCGAUGAUUGUUUGAGAUACUGCAGAUCUGAUUUCUGUUAUGAAAUGCAUAAACAAACAAAAAGUGACGGUUCAAAGUCUCAGUGCGAUAGCAUAAAAUACUGUGAUAAAUGUUACAGACAGUACAGAACAAAAUGGACCGGUGAUAAGCUAUUAAUGCACAAAUGUGCACCAUCCAGAUGUGCGCAUUGCGCCGAAGUUCUCACGGGUGAAGAUCAGCACUGUUGCUAUAUUCAACCAGCCAAGUCUAGAGAACAUAGCCAAGACUAUAUUUAUUUUGACUUUGAGACGAUGUAUGAAGACGGGCGCCAUAAGGCAAAUUAUAUUUGUGCAUCAACGCAAGCUGGGGAUGAGUUUUCGGCGGAAGGCGCAGAUUGUGUGGAUCAGAUGGUCAAGCAUUUCAGACGACCGAAAUUUGAGGGUUUCACAUUUAUCGCACACAAUUCUUCAGGUUUCGACUCUUUUAUACUGCUCGAGUAUUUUACUAGUCAGGGCCUAACUCCAAAAAUCAUACUCCAAGGUUGCAGACUUGUUUACAUGUACGACCAAGCCUUUAAACAGAGAUACAUCGACAGCUAUAGCUUCUUGCCCAUGAAAUUGUCAAAAAUGCCCUCUGCUUUAAACUUAAACACCAGCGAAAAAGGGUACUUUCCGCAUCAUUUUAAUCGCUUGCAGAAUGCAAACUAUAUCGGUCCGUAUCCGUCAAAAGAUUAUUACGGAUAUCAGACGAUGUCUGACGCUGAACGUGUGAAAUUUGAUUCGUGGUACGAGGGUGUAGCAGGAGAGGUGUUUGACUUCAAAAAGCAAUUAGCUUUGUACUGCAAGAAUGACGUUGUUUUGCUACGUGAAGCCUGUAUGAAAUACAGAAAAGAGUUUAUAGAAUGUACCAACGUAGAUCCUUUUGGGUGUAUAACAUUAGCCGGCUGUGCUAUGAAAGUGUUCAAAACGCUUUUUUUAACCAAAGACACAAUUGCCUUAACGCACAAAAAUGCCUACAUCAAUCAGUAUAAAUCUUACUCAAACCCUUUCAUACAAUGGUUGGAAUACAUUAAAGCAAGCAGAAACGUCGAUGUUCAUCACGCUUUAAAUUAUGGCGAAGCCAAAUUUGGACCGUAUCAUGUGGACGGCUAUUAUGAGGCUGAUAAUGGAGAUAAAAUAGCUUUGGAAUUUCUCGGAUGUUUCUGGCACGGGCAUUGUUGUCGUUUUAAUCCUAACGAUUUGAAUCCUGUGUCAAAAACACCUUUUGGCCUGCUCAGAAGACAAUCUGACAAUAAGUUGAACGUUUUGCGUAAUACCUACAAUCUCAAAGUGCACAAGAUUUGGGAGUGUCAGUGGGAGGCUGCUAAACAAAACGAUCCCAAUGUCAUUGCAUUUAUGAGUAAUUAUAAUGCACCAGCGAGACUGAAUCCUAGAGAAGCACUUUACGGCGGACGCACGAAUGCACUCCGCUUGUACCACGAGACCGCGGAGGACGAACGCGUGUCAUAUCUGGAUUUCACAUCUCUAUAUCCGUAUGUACAGUCGUGUAAAACCUACCCUAUCGGGCAUCCUGAGAUCAUUUUAAAAGAUUUUGAACCGGUCAAAUCUUAUUUCGGUCUCAUUAAAUGCAGUGUACUGCCCCCACGUAAACUACUGCAUCCAAUAUUACCUGCCAAAUCCUCUCAGGGGAAACUACUAUUUGCGCUGUGUCGCACCUGUGCUGAGGCACAGUAUCAGGGUCAGUGUCAGCACAGUGAUGACGAAAGAGUCAUUUCAGGAGUUUGGACCUCUGUCGAGCUCUCCAGGGCUAUUGAUAAAGGUUAUUCGGUAGUCAGAAUUGAGGAAGUCUGGCAUUUUCCGUACACAUCAGACACUUUAUUCAGCGGUUAUGUUAAGACGUUUCUCAAAUUCAAACAAGAGGCUUCAGGAUUUCCAUCACACGUAGUGACAGAUGCUGAAAAGGAGUCUUACGUCAGAGAUUAUUUUGAGAAGGAGGGAGUUCAGCUCGAUCUU
ensembl:lncRNA